AUUGAACGCUGGCGGCAGGCUUAACACAUGCAAGUCGAGCGGGGUGAUGGUGCUUGCACUAUCACUUAGCGGCGGACGGGUGAGUAAUGCUUAGGAAUCUGCCUAUUAGUGGGGGACAACAUCUCGAAAGGGAUGCUAAUACCGCAUACGUCCUACGGGAGAAAGCAGGGGAUCACUUGUGACCUUGCGCUAAUAGAUGAGCCUAAGUCGGAUUAGCUAGUGGUUGGGGUAAAGGCCUACCAAGGCGACGAUCUGUAGCGGGUCUGAGAGGAUGAUCCGCCACACUGGGACUGAGACACGGCCCAGACUCCUACGGGAGGCAGCAGUGGGGAAUAUUGGACAAUGGGGGGAACCUUGAUCCAGCCAUGCCGCGUGUGUGAAGAAGGCCUUAUGGUUGUAAAGCACUUUAAGCGAGGAGGAGGCUCUUUUGGUUAAUACCCAAGAUGAGUGGACGUUACUCGCAGAAUAAGCACCGGCUAACUCUGUGCCAGCAGCCGCAGUAA
rnacentral:rRNA from 1 species